CUUUAUUCUGGGGAAAGCAAAGUUCUUUCUAUAAGCCUGGGUUCUCAUAAUAUACAGACUGGGAAACUUGGGAAAGAGUAGGAGCAUCAUUAGUUUCAUUUUAUAGGUGGGAAUAACAAAGCAUGGAGAGACAAACAUAUUUGCCAAAAUAGUUAUUCUCAACUCCUUGUUUUGGGAAUUCUAGAGUGUUUCAUAGGAUUUCAAAGUACCUCACAAAAUUGUUCUAAAUUUCUCAAAGCCAAAUUCAUUUUAAUUAACUUUAAUUUUUUUUGAAAAGUUAUAGCAUUCUUGGGGGUAGGAUAGGUACAUUUUAUAAAAACAAUACAAACAAUUGUUUUGCUUAGAACCAGUGAAAUGUCAAAACUCCAAAAAUGUUUGGGAAGCACUGGAUUAGUCAGUAGCAUAACAAGCAAUAAAACAACCCAGGUCAGGUGCAGAGAGAUAUAAACUCUUGUCUCAUCCUCCAUAGAUCUGUAUUUUCAAAGGCAGAGUCUUGUGUGACUGCAUGUCUGAGGAUAUGUCUCUUCUGGACAGGGUUUUUACAGUACUUGAGAAUGAUCCUAACAACCUUUUGGGGUGACUCAAUUUUUUUCACUGCUAGAGAGGUAAAACAAAUAUUGAUACAGUUGAACAGUGAGAAAUUGAGUUUGGCUGGAGCACAGGCACAUAAUGGUAGAAUUAUGAGCCUGUGCUAGGCUGUGUGGGUUUGGCCAAAUUGGGUCAAGUGAAAACAGAAAGAUCAGUUAGAAACUUGCAAUAGUUUCGAUAAAAGAUGUUAUGGCGGUUGUCCAACUUUAUUGUGAACUCUCUUAUUGUACUAGUGUUUAAAAGCAGAUAAGCUGUUACCUCUUGAAUCCCACAGGCUGUCUAGUUAUACUGGUCAGGAUCUCUUCCAGCUCAAUUUUUUAAAAAAUCCUUUGCCUUGACUUCCAAAGGCACCUGUUAAGAGUGGACUUCUCAAGCUGUGUAAAGUACUUUUGGCAUAAUCAAGUCUAUGUUGUUCCAUGAAGCUCUAAGUCCAGAGUAACUGUCUUUAGUUGAUCAUAUUGAAAGCAAGAACAUCAUUUCAAACAAACCAAGUCUGAGAUAUUUAACCCACAUGUGCUUUCAGACCUGGUAUGUAUGAGCUUGAGCAAUGAAGCCUUAUUCCAUUUUGAUGUUAUAAAAAAUGGAGGGAUUUCCCUGCAGUCAGUUUCACAGCCACUAUUUGACUUAUAUUUGAAGGGGGAAAGAUAAGGGCUGUGUUCUUUUGAUCUGAAUUUUUCUGUUCUUAAAAGUUUUCUUUUCUAAGAACACUAGUCAGUACCUGGAGACACUCCGACAUAUUUAAAGAAUUAAUUUGCUUUAUUGAAAAAAGUUGUUUCUUUAAACAUUUAAAUAAUUACUUUUUCUUCAGUGACAAAUUAGUUUGCUUUAAUGAAAAAAAAGGUUUUUUUCAUAACUUUCAUUACAUGAACCUUUAGCAAAGGAGAUUUCUCCCAUUAUAUACUUCUUAUGAUCAACAAAUUCCAUCAUCUCCCCACUAAGAGAAAGUACUCCAAGAUGAUAGAAUGAUUUUAAAGUUAUGGGACUACAACAGCAGCCACAGGAACCUUGAACUGCCAUCCAGGGCCAUGCAGCAAACAAGCAACAGGGAAAUAUCCCACUAUGCAAUCCUAUUUUGAGAUGAUAUUUAGGAUGAGAGAACAUGCAUUAGUUACCUACCAGCUUGACAGGAAUGGAUUUCCAAAUCUGACACACCAUAGCCUGAAUUCUCACCAGUUUGCUCCUGGAAAGGCCCGCUCAUGCAGCAUGAGCCCCUGCCACUCUUCUAAAUAAGCUUCCAGGCAUUACCUGCAUGCUGUGUUCCUGUGGUGGGAUGGCAGUAAUCUCUGCUAAGAUAAACGGGAGCUUCUGUGGAUAAAGCAUAAACGCAGUGAAGUGUGUGUGGCUGGAAGAUUUAAUGCCUCUACAGUGCUUAGAUACAAGUUGAGCUUGGAAUUCCAGAGGUAGAGCACUGCUGAUUGGAGACAUAUUAAGUAAAAUGUACUGUGGAAAUGAGAUAAAACCUUUAUUCUUGCUAAUGAUUGUCAUUGUAUGUAUUCAGGUGUCCAACAAAGGAUUUUAGAAUAAAGUGUGCCUUUAAAGUUUCCCACCUUCUUAAAGCUCCCAAUGAAUUGCAAAGGGCCUGUUUGGAAUGGACUGUAUUAAAUCUACUUCAAAUGAAAACCUUUACACUGAGUGAAAUAUGGUUCAACAAUUCUUAACACAAGGCCUUUACACUUGUGUAGCCCAUUUUGGUUUGGCCUAUCUUGUCACUAGAAUGCUGUCUGAGCUUGGAUUAUUUAUGCCCUAAGAUUUACUUAAAAUUGAAGGGAGUAUUUCCAUUCAUCAACACUAGUUUUGAUAGAUGCUUAAAAGGUGCAGUGAGGUUGAUGAUCCUGAAUACACAAAUUAUUGAUCACCACAUCAAGUUGGAUUUCCCUAAAGAUGUAUGGCUUUCUGACCUUGUGAUUUAC
rnacentral:lncRNA from 1 species